CUGCGGGAAACUGUAGCUAAUACCGUAUAUUCCAGUAAUGGGAAAGAUUUAUCGCUAUGAGAUUGGCCCGCGCAAGAUUAGUUUGUUGGUAAGGUAAUGGCUUACCAAGGCUACGAUCUUUAGCUGGUUUGAGAGGAUGAUCAGCCACACUGGGACUGAGACACGGCCCAGACUCCUACGGGAGGCAGCAGUAGGGAAUAUUGGACAAUGGGGGCAACCCUGAUCCAGCAAUGCAGCGUGAGUGACGAAGGCCUUAGGGUUGUAAAACUCUUUCAUCGGUGAGGAUAAUGACAGUAGCCGAAGAAGAGGGACCGGCUAAUUCC
rnacentral:rRNA from 1 species